ACGCAAGGUCCAAAACACGCUGGGGAAAGGGGCUUGCUCUAGUGUGGCUCUUUCCCUUUAAAUGCACAAACUCUAGGGACAUGGCAUCCCCGUUGCUAAACAGUGGCAGGAGGAGUAAGGAGACGGCAGAGGGCGGGCCAUCAGUAAGUAGUCCAACAGAAGGGAGUCAAAACAAGCAGGAGAUCAGGAAUCAGAAGGUCAGUCCAACAGGAGCAAGCUAAGCCACAGUCAACACAAGCAGGAGGUCAAAAGCCAGGGAAUCACAAAAGCCUGAAACUAGGAUGAACCAAAGUGCAUUCACAAUGAAGUUGCUUCAGCAAGAGACAGAGGCAAGCUGGAAGCUUCCAUAAGAAACCAGGACUGAGGCCCUGCCUGGGCUAGGAAUGUUCCAAGUCAAGUCUUAAAGGACCUCUGUCCUAUUUUCCAGGAGCAAGCUGGGUUGCCGUUAUUAGGGUUGGCGGUGCUUCUGCUUCUUCCUCCAAAGACAGGGGUACGGAUUGGGAGGUACAGGGACCACUAGUAUUGGAGGUGGAAGCCUCUUGAGACCUGCCUCAUUCUGUGAAUCCUCCAUAUCCACUCAAAUGAUAGAGUGUCAAGUUCAGGGUUCAUGACAAUAACGCCCCUGACAAAAUAAAUAAGAGGGAACAAAGCACCGUUUUCCACUUUUGAAUUUAUUUAUUGAGUUCUUUUUUCCACAAACACUGUAUCUCCCAAAUUGUUAUGCACAGAAAGAAAGCUUCAGGAUAGAUAAAGGCACUCACUACUGUGCACAACUAGGUAUUCAGUCCUCUAUCUUCAUAUAUGAAUCCUUUUCAGUGAUCAACUUCUUAGUGAAUCAAUGUCAGCAUAAAUAUUUCUCCCAGCUAAAUAUGAACAACUUUAACAAAAUACAUAAAUUGUCAUCUCAAGUAACAAACAAAAAUAAUGCAGAAAGAUACAAUAUUGCUAUAAAAAUAUUGCAAACAAUGAACUGCUCAAUUACUUACAAAGACUUCAGACACAUUCAAUGAGAUAACUCACAACUGUGUGCAGCUUAAGUUUCAUUUCUCUGUCUUAAAAUACUAACAUAUAAACACAAAAGAGAAUAUAUUUUGUUUUCAUCAUAUUGGUAUUAUUGGUAUUUUUGUUUUGUGAGAUACAUUUAUGCUAAUAUUAAAUCAUUAAGAAGUUACUGGAGACUAUUGGAAUUUGGAGGUGUCAAUGUAGACAAAAUUAACUAUUUUAACAUAACUAAAACUUGCAUUGAUUGAGGGAAGAGAAGUGCUGGUUUUUGUUUUUAGGUGGUGUUAGGUUGUUAGUUUUAUAACUACAUUGCAUAACAUGCAUAUUAUAUUAAUAUGGGAUGGUGUCAUAUUAUCCUCAUGAAAUCUGGAUUUUAAAGGAUAGCGAAAUAUUGUGCUUGCGUGUGUCCUUGUUUUUGAAGGUUAGCAAUACUAAACAAUAAAUUCAGCCGGUAACAG